AGGAGGCCUUUGUGAGAGGGGAUAGUGUUAUGAUUGAGCCUCAUGGCUCUGUUACUGGCAGACGUGGGCGUAAGACUCCUCGAGAGUCAGAUACUCUCGAGGAGCGAGAAAGAAAGAGACUGCGAGAUAUCUUUGCAGCACCAUCUGACGAAGAGUCUUUUGAGGGGUUUACGGAGAGAAUGGAGGAGGGGCUGGUUAGCUCGGAGGAGGAUGAGAUGGAUUGGACUCGGGUGAGGGAGGAAUUGGGUGCCACUGGCAAUGAUGGGAUGGAAGAUGAAUGGGGACCUUCAGGAUUAGACCCAUGGACAAGCUGGAGGGAUGGGACGGGAUCCACAGCUGGGGAUGCUGUGGGGCGUAGUCAGAGGUGUUCCAGCUCUGAAGGAAAGUGAUGAGGAAACGCCCGGGUUAAGGAGGGCAGCUGAUAGUGAUGAGGAUUUGUAACUGGCAUAAAAUGAGGCUUGGGAGCAAUUGCAAAUUGCGUUGGGCAAGGUAAUCUGGAUGAACGCUUGGGAUCUGUGUGGGACGCUUUCCUGAAGACUGGUGUGUUUUCGUGUACUGAUACCUUUGACCUUCCGUCGUCUUCUUGACGGACGCCAUCUCCUGCUUUGGAUUUCGGACUGAACUGACCACGGCUUGACUUCCCCCUACUCGGACUUGGUGAAACUACAAACGUCUGCUUCUGGCUUGAACUACGGAAAGGAACUGGGUCUACUCUACUGCUUCAAUCCUCGGCUGAUCUGUGUGUAUUGGAAAUCUUGCCUGCUGUGUGGAGGAGUGACUCAAGUUACUCAAAGCACAGUGCUGGCAGCAGAGAGGAAUCUGCUGCCAAUUAGCUGCAUUCUUUUGAACACUUUGUUCCCCGGCUUUUGUUUUGUUUAUCUCCAGGCUGAAGCAAGCUGUUUGUUUUUACCCGGAUUAAACUUUGGUUUAAUCCGGUUUAUCUUUUGAGCGUUUUUCCUUGCCCCUUUUUGCUUUUAAAGGCUAAUACUGCCUGGCCCUUGUAUUUUACGGGCAUUUUGAGUUCUGUAAUCCAAUAAACUCUGUUAUCUUUGA